UACGUAGGGCGCAAGCGUUGUCCGGAAUUAUUGGGCGUAAAGAGCUCGUAGGCGGUCUGUCGCGUCGGCUGUGAAAGCCCGGGGCUCAACCCCGGGUCUGCAGUCGAUACGGGCAGGCUAGAGUGCGGUAGGGGAGACUGGAAUUCCUGGUGUAGCGGUGAAAUGCGCAGAUAUCAGGAGGAACACCGGUGGCGAAGGCGGGUCUCUGGGCCGUAACUGACGCUGAUGCACGAAAGCUAGGGGAGCAAACAGG
rnacentral:rRNA from 1 species